AUUGGACGCUGGCGGCAUGCUUUACACAUGCAAGUCGAACGGUAACAGGCCUUCGGGUGCUGACGAGUGGCGAACGGGUGAGUAAUACAUCGGAACGUACCCAGAGGUGGGGGAUAACGCAGCGAAAGCUGUGCUAAUACCGCAUGUGAUCUGAGGAUGAAAGCGGGGGACCGAGCAGCAAUGUUUGGCCUCGCGCCUUUGGAGCGGCCGAUGUCGGAUUAGCUAGUUGGUGGGGUAAAGGCCUACCAAGGCGACGAUCCGUAGCUGGUCUGAGAGGACGACCAGCCACACUGGGACUGAGACACGGCCCAGACUCCUACGGGAGGCAGCAGUGGGGAAUUUUGGACAAUGGGCGCAAGCCUGAUCCAGCAAUGCCGCGUGCGGGAAGAAGGCCUUCGGGUUGUAAACCGCUUUUGGCAGGAACGAAACGGUGUCCGCUAAUACCGGGCGCUAAUGACGGUACCUGCAGAAUAAGCACCGGCUAACUACGUG
rnacentral:rRNA from 1 species